GAAAGGCACAGUUUGUGUAACUGGUGGAACGGGCUAUGUAGCAUCAUGGCUUGUCAUGAAGCUUCUCCAGCGAGGUUACACCGUCAGAGCUACUAUUAGAUCCGACCCAGAAGAAAACAAGAAAGACAUCAGCUAUAUCACCAACCUACCAGGAGCAGCAGACAGAUUAAAAAUUUUCAGUGCAGAUCUCAACCAGCCAGAGAGUUUCAAAGCGGCCAUUGAAGGUUGUAUUGGAGUUUUCCAUGUGGCUCACCCAAUGGAUCCUUAUGGAAAAGAACCAGAGGAAAGGGUGACCAAAAUAGCCGUGGAAGGAUUGCUAGGAAUAUUAAGGGCAUGCUUGAAAUCAAAGACAGUGAAAAGAGUUGUUUACACUUCCUCUGCAGUCUCAAUAAUGUAUAAUGACAAGGGUUUAAAUGUAACGGAUGAAAACACAUGGAGUGACCUCGAUAUUUGCAGAAAAAACAAAUCUGUAAGCACUUCAUAUCUAGUUUCCAAGACUGUUACGGAAAAAAUGGCCCUGGAUUUCGCAGCAAAACAUGGCUUGGAUCUUGUGACUAUAGUUCUGCCUUUAGUUGUUGGACCCUUCAUUUGUCCUUAUAUACCCAGCUCCGUCUACUUGGCCCUCGCUGUGGUCUUUGGGAAUCAGGAGAAAUAUAAAGAUUUUAAUAAUUUCUAUAUGGUGCACACUGAUGAUGCGGCCAGUGCUCACAUAUUUCUUCUUGAAGAUCCUAAUGCAAAAGGGAGAUACAUUUGUU
rnacentral:misc_RNA from 1 species